UGGGUUGUGGCUCAGUGGUAGAGUGCUCGCUUAGCAUGCAUGAGGCACUGGGUUCAAUCCUCAGCACCACAU
rnacentral:tRNA from 1 species